UUUGUACUCCCUCCGUCCCAAAAUUCUUGUCUUUAAUUUGUCUAAAUAUGGAUGUAUCUAGUUACAUUUUAGUGUUAGAUACAUCCGUAUCUAAACAAAUGUAAGACAAGAAUUUUGGGACGGAGGGAAUACUAC
rnacentral:pre_miRNA from 1 species